GAGUAACGCGUGAGCAACCUUUCCCAGACAGGGGAAUAACACACCGAAAGGUGUACUAAUACCGCAUAAGACCACGGGAUCACAUGGUUCUGAGGUAAAAGAUUUAUCGGUUUGGGGUGGGCUCGCGUCCGAUUAGGUAGUUGGUGAGGUAACGGCCCACCAAGCCGACGAUCGGUAGCCGACCUGAGAGGGUGAUCGGCCACAUUGGGACUGAGACACGGCCCAAACUCCUACGGGAGGCAGCAGUGGGGAAUAUUGGGCAAUGGAGGAAACUCUGACCCAGCAACGCCGCGUGGAGGAAGAAGGUUUUCGGAUCGUAAACUCCUGUCCUUGGAGACGAGUAGAAGACGGUAUCCAAGGAGGAAGCCCCGGCUAACUACGUGCCAGCAGCCGCGGUAAUACGUAGGGGGCAAGCGUUGUCCGGAAUAAUUGGGCGUAAAGGGCGCGUAGGCGGCUCGGUAAGUCUGGAGUGAAAGUCCUGCUUUUAAGGUGGGAAUUGCUUUGGAUACUGUCGGGCUUGAGUGCAGGAGAGGUUAGUGGAAUUCCCAGUGUAGCGGUGAAAUGCGUAGAGAUUGGGAGGAAC
rnacentral:rRNA from 1 species